UACGUAGGGGGCAAGCGUUGUCCGGAAUUAUUGGGCGUAAAGAGCGCGUAGGCGGUCUUUCAAGUCCGGUGUGAAAACUUGAGGCUCAACCUCAAGCGUGCAUCGGAUACUGAUGGACUAGAAUUCGGUAGAGGGAAUCGGAAUUCCUGGUGUAGCGGUGAAAUGCGCAGAUAUCAGGAAGAACACCGGUGGCGAAGGCGGAUUCCUGGGCCGAUAUUGACGCUGAGGCGCGAAAGCUAGGGGAGCGAACAGG
rnacentral:rRNA from 1 species